UUGUGGACUGCUGUAUUAAUGGCACAAUGCCAUCCACUCUUGCUGCUCUCUGAAUAUAGGUCGCUUGUUGAAAUGAGAUAUGCUUGUCCAUCAUGGACCAGAAUUUGAUGUGAUAUGAAGUGAAAUCUUUCUUCUGUUUGCCAGUCUGUAAAUUGUCUAGGUGAAUAGUCCUGAGGAAAAUUUAUGAUGAACUAGCACAUUCAGUACUCGCCGCUUGUGGGAGAGAAGGAAACAAGUCGUUUUAUACUGACAUGUAGUAAAUCUAUGUAGAUAUAGCUGUAUUGGCUUAUGUGUUGUGGAGGGCCUUUUGUACAAAACACGUGCUUGUAAAUGUUCUGUAUGGAUAACACAGAUUUGGGUGCCUGUGAUCUUUGUCUAUGUAUUAUUCUGCAUCCUGUAUCUGGGAAUAGGGUCUGGGAAUAGGGACAAAGUUCAAAAGUUAUGCCUGGGGUAUUGACUAUAGCAGAAACUAUGCUCUUGUUGAGAUAUCCAUGUUAUGUUGAUAGGUGCAUGUCUUACCAUCUUUAAUUCUUUAAAAAAUCAGCUGAAUCAGGGCCUCUAUGAGCCUGUUUCAUUGAUGAGUCCCUCUAUAUAAUAGCUGAGGUAUUGAAAAUUGAUUUGACGAUUGUAGUGCCAAACAAGAAGGAAUAAAGGCAGAUCCCAUUCAAUUGAGGCACUUUCUUGAUUUUCUUAAAUGUAGAAAGCUCCAGACAGAGACUUUCUUUAUUGGGCCAAACCAAUACCUUGUCACAUCAAUCCAUGAGAAUUGGUUCAGUGCAAGAUGCAUGAGCACAUCAAAUUCUGCUGGUGAAGGAGCUAUUGUCAUGCAGACAACGGCUUUCAUCUUGGUGGCACUGUAUGAUGGUUCAAUUGGAGUGGCAUCGGGUGCUGUAAUGGCUGCUGAUCAAUUUGCAUGGCAGCCAAAUUGAAGAAACCUUUGACCUUGCAGUGAAGUUGAAAUUAUGGAGAUCCUGAUAAUCCAGUGAAUCCAUUCAGCAAAUCUGUCAUUGAUGGCAAGGGG